GUACUUGGUGUUACUGCGAAGGGGGGACGGAGAAGGCUAUGUUAGCCGGGCGACGGUUGUCCCGGUUUAAGCAUGUAGGCUGGUUAUCCAGGCAAAUCCGGAUAAUCAAGGCUGAGGUGUGAUGACGAGGCACUACGGUGCUGAAGUAACAAAUGCCCUGCUUCCAGGAAAAGCCUCUAAGCAUCAGGUAACAUCAAAUCGUACCCCAAACCGACACAGGUGGUCAGGUAGAGAAUACCAAGGCGCUUGAGAGAACUCGGGUGAAGGAACUAGGCAAAAUGGUGCCGUAACUUCGGGAGAAGGCACGCUGGUGUGUAGGUGAAGUCCCUGCGGAUGGAGCUGAGACCAGUCGAAGAUACCAGCUGGCUGCAACUGUUUAUUAAAAACACAGCACUGUGCAAACACGAAAGUGGACGUAUACGGUGUGACGCCUGCCCGGUGCCGGAAGGUUAAUUGAUGGGGUUAUCCGUAAGGAGAAGCUCUUGAUCGAAGCCCCGGUAAACGGCGGCCGUAACUAUAACGGUCCUAAGGUAGCGAAAUUCCUUGUCGGGUAAGUUCCGACCUGCACGAAUGGCGUAAUGAUGGCCAGGCUGUCUCCACCCGAGACUCAGUGAAAUUGAACUCGCUGUGAAGAUGCAGUGUACCCGCGGCAAGACGGAAAGACCCCGUGAACCUUUACUAUAGCUUGACACUGAACAUUGAGCCUUGAUGUGUAGGAUAGGUGGGAGGCUUUGAAGCGUGGACGCCAGUCUGCGUGGAGCCAACCUUGAAAUACCACCCUUUAAUGUUUGAUGUUCUAACGUUGGCCCCUUACCGGGGUUGCGGACAGUGUCUGGUGGGUAGUUUGACUGGGGCGGUCUCCUCCCAAAGCGUAACGGAGGAGCACGAAGGUUAGCUAAUCCUGGUCGGACAUCAGGAGGUUAGUGCAAUGGCAUAAGCUAGCUUGACUGCGAGCGUGACGGCGCGAGCAGGUGCGAAAGCAGGUCAUAGUGAUCCGGUGGUUCUGAAUGGAAGGGCCAUCGCUCAACGGAUAAAAGGUACUCCGGGGAUAACAGGCUGAUACCGCCCAAGAGUUCAUAUCGACGGCGGUGUUUGGCACCUCGAUGUCGGCUCAUCACAUCCUGGGGCUGAAGUAGGUCCCAAGGGUAUGGCUGUUCGCCAUUUAAAGUGGUACGCGAGCUGGGUUUAGAACGUCGUGAGACAGUUCGGUCCCUAUCUGCCGUGGGCGCUGGAGAAUUGAGGGGGGCUGCUCCUAGUACGAGAGGACCGGAGUGGACGCAUCACUGGUGUUCGGGUUGUCAUGCCAAUGGCACUGCCCGGUAGCUAAAUGCGGAAGAGAUAAGUGCUGAAAGCAUCUAAGCACGAAACUUGCCCCGAGAUGAGUUCUCCCUGAGACUUUAAGUCUCCUGAAGGAACGUU
rnacentral:rRNA from 1 species